CGCCCCGCGCGCCCUCGCGUGAGAACGCAGGGCAGCCCACGGCACCGGCUGCUCCUCUUCCUCUCCAGACACUCCCGUCUCCCACACAGACAGCCGCUCUGCCUGCCGGCUCCAUCUUCUGCUUCCCUCACAGGCCCCGCGCGCUCUGCAUGGCAACCGGCCGGACGUCCAGGAGCUGGUCCUUCUUCGGCCGUGUGCGCACCCGCCGUUCCAGGAUCGGGGGUGCCCGUGACGCAGCCGAAGUGGGGGAAGACAUCAGGAGUUAACCCGGGGGGAAGCUUGGCGUGCCCUCACAGCGACGCGAACCCCGGAGCUGGGAGGAAAGACGGUGGUCUGGCUUCGGGAAUCAAAAAGAAAAAGAAAAAGGAAAAAAAAAAGGUAAAAAAAAACCCCC